rnacentral:misc_RNA from 1 species
CUCUAUAACUCUUUCUGUUUUCUCACGUUUAAGGGUUCUACUAUUUUCUAUACUAGGGUUUCCUAUACUAGUAGAGAACAACCAUAUCCCGGAUUCUAGACACAAGGAGGGAAUUUAAUGCAACCUCAAUGCGUUGACUUUUAGUAUUCAAUUGAAUUUAGGGGGAAAAGAAUAUUGAGGUGGUUAUAGCUCCGGACAGGCAAAGAAACCGAAGCGUCUCCGCGAUGCCGGCAUGCGAACCAAAAAUAGGGGAAAAAUCAGAGAUCUGGACAGGCAGAGGGACCGAAGCCACUCCGCGAUGCCAGCAACUUCGUCUAGGUGAUCAGGUACAAGGGAUAUGGUGAUCCUGUUUGAGUGAGGAAUUCGGUGGAUUAUAUAUCCCCUUCAUCCUUUUGUUCCCACGAGAGGCCACUAUUCGUUCGUCUCCCUCUAGGAGUCACAUAUUCAACUUAUCUUGUUUGCUCGGGGCCUUCUGAGGUACUCCCGGCGAUCGCGAAAUUAAAACAAUUGCUAGCUCGCUUCACGUAUACUGACCUACACACUUCCGUGGAUCAGUAUUCGUGUCGCUUACUUCUA